rnacentral:rRNA from 1 species
CCUACGGGUGGCUGCAGUGGGGGAUAUUGCACAAUGGGGGGAACCCUGAUGCAGCGACGCCGCGUGGGUGAAGAAGCGCCUCGGCGCGUAAAGCCCUGUCAGCAGGGAAGAAAAUGACGGUACCUGAAGAAGAAGCCCCGGCUAACUACGUGCCAGCAGCCGCGGUAAUACGUAGGGGGAAAGCGUUAUCCGGAUUUACUGGGUGUAAAGGGGGCGCAGACGGCGAUGCAAGCCAGGAGUGAAAGCCCGGGGCCCAACCCCGGGACUGCUCUUGGAACUGCGUGGCUGGAGUGCAGGAGGGGCAGGCGGAAUUCCUGGUGUAGCGGUGAAAUGCUUAGAUAUCACGAAGAACUCCGAUUGCGAAGGCAGCCUGCUGGACUGUAACUGACGUUGAGGCCCGAAGGCGUGGGGAGCAAACAGGAUUAGAUACCCUUGUAGUC